rnacentral:rRNA from 1 species
UACGGAGGGUGCAAGCGUUAAUCGGAAUUACUGGGCGUAAAGCGUGCGCAGGCGGUUUGUUAAGUCCGUUGUGAAAGCCCCGAGCUCAACUUGGGAAUUGCAGUGGAUACUGGCAGGCUGGAGUACGGUAGAGGAAGGUGGAAUUCCCGGUGUAGCAGUGAAAUGCGUAGAUAUCAGGAGGAACACCAGUGGCGAAGGCGGCCUUCUGGACCAGUACUGACGCUCAUGCACGAAAGCGUGGGGAGCAAACAGG